rnacentral:rRNA from 1 species
AUCCCAGUUCGGAUUGCAGGCUGAAACCCGCCUGCAUGAAGUUGGAAUCGCUAGUAAUCGCGGAUCAGCAUGCCGCGGUGAAUACGUUCCCGGGCCUUGUACACACCGCCCGUCACACCAUGAGAGUUGGGAAUACCCGAAGCCCGUGAGCUAACCGAAAGGGAGCAGCGGUCGAAGGUAGAAUCAAUGAUUGGGGUGAAGUCGUAACAAGGUAGC